GCUUGAGCAAGCCAGUGUAAAAAUUACAACAGCUUACUGAGCCCUGUGCAGAAGCUGAUAUUGAGAGCAUGGAGGCUUCCUGCUAAAGGCCAGCAUCAGCUUGUCAGCCACACAGGUGAGGCUGGGAGAGGAUCCUCAGUCCUGAUCAAGACUUCAGAUGAGAUCACAGCCCUGGCUGACAUCUGACUGCAACUUCAUGAGAGACCCUGAGCCACAGCCCCCAGCCCAGCCACUCCUGAAUUUCUGGUCCACAGAAACUGUAAGAGAUGUAAAUAAAUUAUUAUUGCUGCUUUUAAGCCACUAAA